rnacentral:rRNA from 1 species
CCCGCACAAGCGGUGGAUUAUGUGGAUUAAUUCGAUGCAACGCGAAAACCUUACCUACCCUUGACAUGCCAGGAACUUGCCAGAGAUGGCUUGGUGCCCGAAAGGGAACCUAGACACAGGUGCUGCAUGGCUGUCGUCAGCUCGUGUCGUGAGAUGUUGGGUUAAGUCCCGCAACGAGCGCAACCCUUGCCAUUAGUUGCUACGAAAGGGCACUCUAAUGGGACUGCCGGUGACAAACCGGAGGAAGGCGGGGAUGACGUCAAGUCCUCAUGGCCCUUAUAGGUGGGGCUACACACGUCAUACAAUGGCCGGUACAGAGGGUAGCCAACCCGCGAGGGGGAGCCAAUCCCACAAAGCCGGUCGUAGUCCGGAUCGCAGUCUGCAACUCGACUGCGUGAAGUCGGAAUCGCUAGUAAUCGCGGAUCAGCAUGUCGCGGUGAAUACGUUCCCGGGUCUU